UCGAGCUGCACCAGUGCCAUGUGGGUCUUCGUGGGCCGCGCGCUCUCGAAGGUGGUGUCGAAUUUGGGGGCCAGGCCCCGCUCCUCCAUCGUCCAGACGCCGUGGGGGCCCCUGAAGUCGGGGAUGCCCGAGGCGGUGCUGAUGCCGGCCCCCGUGUGGAACACCACAUUGGAGGACUGCCAGACCAGCUGCGCCAGCUCCCGCACCUUCCGCUCCAACUCCUCCGGGGGGUCGAAGAUCUGUCCGGGGACAGAGCAGAAGGGAGGGGUCAAAACAUGUCCCAUUGUGGCAAGGCGGCUAGCCACAGAUGGGAAUGCCCCUGCCUUGCCCAGGGCAGAGAAGUGAUUGGAAAAGGUCUUGGCUGAGAAGUCCCCUCACUUGCACACCCACGUUCAUGGCAGCAUCAUUUACAACCGCGACAACAUGGAGUCAACCCCAGUGUCCACCGACGGAUGAAAGAUAAACACAGUGUGGUCCAUCCACACACUGGAAUAUGAUCCAGCCUCCCAAAGGAAGGACCUCCUGACACCUGUCACCACGUGCAUGGAUCUGGAGGACACCGUGCACAGUGACAGAAGCCAGACACGGAAGGACGCUGUGCGACCCCACUCACGGGGGGUCCCUAGAGGAGUCCCGUCCACAGAGACAGAGAGCAGAGGGUGGGAGCCAGGGGUGGGGCAGGGGGCGGGGAGUCAGUGCUUCAUGGGGACAGAGUCUCAGUUUUGGGCGAUGGAAAGUUCUGGAGAUGGAUGGUGGGGGUGGUUGCACAACAGCAUGAACGUAUUCAGUACCACUGAGCUGUGUACUUAAAAAAUGGCUAAGAUGGUACCUCUCAC